UACGGAAGGCAGCAGUGGGGAAUAUUGCACAAUGGGCGCAAGCCUGAUGCAGCCAUGCCGCGUGUAUGAAGAAGGCCUUCGGGUUGUAAAGUACUUUCAGUCGUGAGGAAGGUGUUAAGGUUAAUAACCUUAGCAAUUGACGUUAGCGACAGAAGAAGCACCGGCUAACUCCGUGCCAGCAGCCGCGGUAAUACGGAGGGUGCGAGCGUUAAUCGGAAUUACUGGGCGUAAGGGGCACGCAGGCGGUUAAUUAAGUUGGAUGUGAAAUCCCCGGGCUUAACCUGGGAAUGGCAUUCAAGACUGGUUAGCUAGAGUCUUGUAGAGGGGGUAGAAUUCCAUGUGUAGCGGUGAAAUGCGUAGAGAUGUGGAGGAAUACCGGUGGCGAAGGCGGCCCCUGGGACAAAGGCUGACGCUCAUGUGCGAAAGCGUGGGGAGCAAACAGGGAUUAGAUACC
rnacentral:rRNA from 1 species